ACAAGCGGAGGAGCAUGUGGUUUAAUUCGAUGCAACGCGAAGAACCUUACCUGGUCUUGACAUCCCGGAGACCCUUAGGAAACUAGGGGUGCUUCCAUCUGGAAGAAUCUGGAGACAGGUGCUGCAUGGCUGUCGUCAGCUCGUGUCGUGAGAUGUUGGGUUAAGUCCCGCAACGAGCGCAACCCUUGCCUUUAGUUGCCAGCAGUUCGGCUGGGCACUCUAAAGGGACUGCCGGUGUUAAACCGGAGGAAGGUGGGGAUGACGUCAAGUCCUCAUGGCCUUUAUGACCAGGGCUACACACGUACUACAAUGGCCGAUACAAAGGGCAGCGACACUGCGAGGUGAAGCCAAUCCCGUAAAAUCGGUCUCAGUCCGGAUUGGAGUCUGCAACUCGACUCCAUGAAGUUGGAAUCGCUAGUAAUCGUGGAUCAGCAUGCCACGGUGAAUACGUUCCCGGGCCUU
rnacentral:rRNA from 1 species